rnacentral:rRNA from 1 species
AUGAACGCUAGCUACAGGCUUAACACAUGCAAGUCGAGGGGCAGCAUGGUCUUAGCUUGCUAAGGCCGAUGGCGACCGGCGCACGGGUGAGUAACACGUAUCCAACCUGCCGUCUACUCUUGGACAGCCUUCUGAAAGGAAGAUUAAUACAAGAUGGCAUCAUGAGUCCGCAUGUUCACAUGAUUAAAGGUAUUCCGGUAGACGAUGGGGAUGCGUUCCAUUAGAUAGUAGGCGGGGUAACGGCCCACCUAGUCUUCGAUGGAUAGGGGUUCUGAGAGGAAGAUCCCCCACAUUGGAACUGAGACACGGUCCAAACUCCUACGGGAGGCAGCAGUGAGGAAUAUUGGUCAAUGGGCGAGAGCCUGAACCAGCCAAGUAGCGUGAAGGAUGACUGCCCUAUGGGUUGUAAACUUCUUUUAUAAAGGAAUAAAGUCGGGUAUGGAUACCCGUUUGCAUGUACUUUAUGAAUAAGGAUCGGCUAACUCCGUGCCAGCAGCCGCGGUAAUACGGAGGAUCCGAGCGUUAUCCGGAUUUAUUGGGUUUAAAGGGAGCGUAGAUGGAUGUUUAAGUCAGUUGUGAAAGUUUGCGGCUCAACCGUAAAAUUGCAGUUGAUACUGGAUAUCUUGAGUGCAGUUGAGGCAGGCGGAAUUCGUGGUGUAGCGGUGAAAUGCUUAGAUAUCACGAAGAACUCCGAUUGCGAAGGCAGCCUGCUAAGCUGCAACUGACAUUGAGGCUCGAAAGUGUGGGUAUCAAACAGGAUUAGAUACCCUGGUAGUCCACACGGUAAACGAUGAAUACUCGCUGUUUGCGAUAUACGGCAAGCGGCCAAGCGAAAGCGUUAAGUAUUCCACCUGGGGAGUACGCCGGCAACGGUGAAACUCAAAGGAAUUGACGGGGGCCCGCACAAGCGGAGGAACAUGUGGUUUAAUUCGAUGAUACGCGAGGAACCUUACCCGGGCUUAAAUUGCAGAUGAAUUACGGUGAAAGCCGUAAGCCGCAAGGCAUCUGUGAAGGUGCUGCAUGGUUGUCGUCAGCUCGUGCCGUGAGGUGUCGGCUUAAGUGCCAUAACGAGCGCAACCCUUGUUGUCAGUUACUAACAGGUUCUGCUGAGGACUCUGACAAGACUGCCAUCGUAAGAUGUGAGGAAGGUGGGGAUGACGUCAAAUCAUCAUGCCCCUUAUGACCUGGGCUACACACGUACUACAAUGGGUGUCAACAAAGAGAAGCGAAACCGCGAGGAAGAGCAAACCUCAAAAACACACCCCCAGUUCAGAUCGCAGGCUGCAACCCGCCUGCAUGAAGUAGGAAUCGCUAGUAAUCGCGGGUCAGCAUACCGCGGUGAAUACGUUCCCGGGCCUUGUACACACCGCCCGUCAAGCCAUGGGAGCCGGGGGUACCUGAAGUGCGUAACCGCGAGGAGCGCCCUAGGGUAAAACUGGUGACUGGGGCU